UACGGAGGGUGCAAGCGUUAAUCGGAAUUACUGGGCGUAAAGCGCACGCAGGCGGUCUGCCAAGUCGGAUGUGAAAUCCCCGGGCUCAACCUGGGAACUGCAUUCGAAACUGGCAGGCUAGAGUCUUGUAGAGGGGGGUAGAAUUCCAGGUGUAGCGGUGAAAUGCGUAGAGAUCUGGAGGAAUACCGGUGGCGAAGGCGGCCCCCUGGACAAAGACUGACGCUCAGGUGCGAAAGCGUGGGGAGCAAACAGGAUUAGUUACCCUGGUAGUCCACGCCGUAAACGAUGUCGAUUUGGAGGUUGUGCCCUUGAGGCGUGGCUUCCGGAGCUAACGCGUUAAAUCGACCGCCUGGGGAGUACGGCCGCAAGAUUAAA
rnacentral:rRNA from 1 species